UUCUACCUUUAGCCUCCAAGGCCAUGGGACAC
rnacentral:piRNA from 1 species